rnacentral:lncRNA from 1 species
UUUUGGGGUCUUUUGGGGGUCUUUUUGAGGGUUGGAUUUCGGAUUUUGGGGUCUUUUGGGGGGGAUUUGGGAUUUUGGGGUAUUUUUUGGGGUAUUUUGUGGGUUGGAUUUGGGAUUUUGGGGUCUUUCUGGAGUCUUUUGGGGGUUGGAUUUGGAAUUUUGGGGUCUUUUGGGGUCUUUUUGAGGGUUGGAUUUGGGAUUUUGGAGUCUUCUGGGGGGGAUUUGGGAUUUGGGGGUCUUUUGGGGGGGAUUUUGGGGUCUUUUUGGGUCUUUCUGGAGUCUUUUGGGGGUUGGAUUUGGGAUUUUGGGGUCUUUUUUGGGGUCUUUUUGAGGGUUGGAUUUGGGAUUUUGGGGUCUUUUCUGGGGUCUUUUUGGGGGAGAUUUUGGAUUUUGGGGUCUUUUUGGGGUCUUUUUGAGGGUUGGAUGUGGGAUUUUGGGGUCUUUUGGGGGGGAUUUGGGAUUUUGGGGUCUUUUGGGUUCUUUUUGGGGUCUUUUGGGGGUUGGAUUUCGGAUUUUGGGUCUUUUUGGGGUCUUUUGGGGUGUUGGAUUUGGGAUUUUGGGGUCUUUUUUGGGGUCUUCUUUGGGGGGAUUUGGGAUUUUGGGGUCUUUUUGGAUCUUUUGGGGGUUGGAUUUGGGAUUUUGGGGCCUUUUGGGUUCUUUUGGGGGAUUUGGGAUUUUGGGGUCUCUUGGGGUCUUCUUGGGGGGGAUUUGGGAUUGUGGGGUCUUUUGGGUUCUUUUUGGGGUCUUUUGGGGGUUGGAUUUCGGAUUUUGGGUCUUUUUGGGGUCUUUUGGGGUGUUGGAUUUGGGAUUUUGGGGUCUUUUUGGGGUCUUUUUGGUGGGGAUUUGGGAUUUUGGGGUCUUUUUGGGUCUUUUUGGGGGUUGGAUUUGGGAUUUUGGGGUCUUUGGGGUGUUUUGGGGGGUUGGAUUUGGGAUUUUGGGGUCUUUUGGGGUCUUCUUGGGGGGGAUUUGGGAUUGUGGGGUCUUUUGGGGUUUUUUGGGGGGGAUUUGGGAUUUUGGGGUCUUUUUGGGGUCUUUUUGGGGGUUGGAUUUGGGAUUUUGGGGUCUUUUUGGAUCUUUUGGGGGUUGGAUUUGGGAUUUUGGGGUCUUUUGGGGUCUUCUUGGGGGGGAUUUGGGAUUGUGGGGUCUUUUGGGGUCUUUGGGGUCUUUUUGGGGGUUGGAUUUGGGAUUUUGGGGUCUUUUGGGGUCUUUUUUGGGGGGGAUUUGGGAUUGUGGGGUCUUUUGGGGUCUUUGGGGUCUUUUGGGGGGUUGGAUUUGGGAUUUUGGGGUCUUUUGGGGUCUUUUGGGGGGGGAUUUGGGAUUGUGGGGUCUUUUGGGGUCUUUUUGGGGUCUUUUGGGGGUUGGAUUUCGGAUUAUGGGUCUUUUGGGGUCUUCUUGGGGGGAUUUGGGAUUUAUGGGUCUUUUUGGGGUCUAUUGUGGGUUGGAUUUGGGAUUUUGGGGUCUUUUGGGGGUCUUUUUGGGGUCAGAUUUGGGAUUUUGGAUUGUUUUGGGCUGAAAUUUGGGGCCAAAUGUGGGAUUUUGGGCUCUUCUUGGGGCGAAAUUUGGGCAUUUGGGGGUUCAUUUUUGGGGUAAAAUGGGGGCUUUUGGGGUUCGUUUUUGGGGUAAAAUUGGGGGGUUUGGGGGUUCGUUUUUGGGGUAAAAUUGGGGGGUUUUGGGGCUCUUUUUUGGGGCUGAAAUGGGGGAAUUUGGGGGUCCAUUUUGGGACUGAAAUGGGGGGAUUUGGGGGUUCAUUUUUGGGGUAAAAUUGGGGGAAUUUGGGGGCUCAUUUUUGGGCCCAAAUUGGGGGCUUUGGGGUUCAUUUUUGGGGUUAAAAUUGGGAGAUUUUGGGGGCUCAUUUUUGGGCUGAAAUGGG